rnacentral:rRNA from 1 species
AGAGUUUGAUCCUGGCUCAGGAUGAACGCUGGCGGCGUGCUUAACACAUGCAAGUCGAACGGGGAAUGCUUUGACAGAGACUUCGGUUGAAGUCGUUGUAUUCCUAGUGGCGGACGGGUGAGUAACGCGUGGGUAACCUGCCUCAUACAGGGGGAUAACAGUUAGAAAUGACUGCUAAUACCGCACAAGACCACAGCACCGCAUGGUGCAGGGGUAAAAAUUCCGGUGGUGUGGGAUGGGCCCGCGUUGGAUUAGCCAGUUGGCAGGGUAACGGCCUACCAAAGCGACGAUCCAUAGCCGGCCUGAGAGGGUGAACGGCCACAUUGGGACUGAGACACGGCCCAGACUCCUACGGGAGGCAGCAGUGGGGAAUAUUGCACAAUGGGGGAAACCCUGAUGCAGCGACGCCGCGUGAAGGAAGAAGUAUCUCGGUAUGUAAACUUCUAUCAGCAGGGAAGAAGAUGACGGUACCUGACUAAGAAGCCCCGGC